rnacentral:rRNA from 1 species
UUGACCUCGGAUCAGGUAGGGAUACCCGCUGAACUUAAGCAUAUCAAUAAGCGGAGGAAAAGAAACCAACAGGGAUUGCCUCAGUAACGGCGAGUGAAGCGGCAACAGCUCAAAUUUGAAAUCUGGCUCUUUCAGGGUCCGAGUUGUAAUUUGUAGAAGAUGCUUUGGGUGUGGCUCCGGUCUAAGUUCCUUGGAACAGGACGUCAUAGAGGGUGAGAAUCCCGUACGUGACUGGGUGCCUUCGCUCGUGUAAAGCUCUUUCGACGAGUCGAG